rnacentral:rRNA from 1 species
GAUGAACGCUAGCGGCAGGCCUAGCACAUGCAAGUCGAGGGGUAGAGGAAGCUUGCUUCCUUGAGACCGGCGCACGGGUGCGUAACGCGUAUGCAAUCUACCUUUUACAGAGGGAUAGCCCAGAGAAAUUUGGAUUAAUACCUCAUAGUAUCUUUGCCUGGCAUCGGGUGAUUAUUAAAGUUCCAACGGUAAAAGAUGAGCAUGCGUCCUAUUAGCUAGAUGGUAAGGUAACGGCUUACCAUGGCAACGAUAGGUAGGGGUCCUGAGAGGGAGAUCCCCCACACGGGUACUGAGACACGGACCAGACUCCUACGGGAGGCAGCAGUGAGGAAUAUUGGACAAUGGGCGCAAGCCUGAUCCAGCCAUGCCGCGUGCAGGAAGACGGUCCUAUGGAUUGUAAACUGCUUUUGUACGGGAAGAAACACUCCCUCGUGAGGGAGCUUGACGGUACCGUAAGAAUAAGGAUCGGCUAACUCCGUGCCAGCAGCCGCGGUAACAC